rnacentral:rRNA from 1 species
AUUGAACGCUGGCGGUAUGCUUAACACAUGCAAGUCGAACGGUAACAGGCAGAGCUUGCUCUGCGCUGACGAGUGGCGGACGGGUGCGUAACGCGUGGGAAUUUACCUUGUAGUGGGGGAUAGCCCGGAGAAAUCCGGAUUAAUACCGCAUAAUCUCUACGGAGCAAAGUGGGGGAUCUUCGGACCUCACGCUAUUAGAUGAGCCCGCGUUAGAUUAGCUUGUUGGUGAGGUAAUGGCUCACCAAGGCAACGAUCUAUAGCUGGUUUGAGAGGAUGAUCAGCCACACUGGGGACUGAGACACGGGCCCAGACUCCUACGGGAGGCAGCAGUGGGGAAUAUUGGACAAUGGGCGCAAGCCUGAUCCAGCAAUACCGCGUGUGUGAAGAAGGCCUGAGGGUUGUAAAGCACAUUCAAUUGUGAGGAAGAUAGUGUAGCGAAUAACUGCAUUGUUUGACGUUAACUUUAGAAG